rnacentral:rRNA from 1 species
GUGUCAGCAGCCGCGGUAAGACGAACCGUCCUAACGUUGUUCGGAAUCACUGGGCUUAAAGGGCGCGUAGGCGGAUGAGCAAGUCCGGAGUGAAAUCUUUCGGCUUAACCGGAAAAGUGCUUUGGAUACUGCUUGUCUUGAGGGAGGUAGGGGCAUGUGGAACUUCUGGUGGAGCGGUGAAAUGCGUUGAUAUCAGAAGGAACGCCGGUGGCGAAAGCGACGUGCUGGCCCUCUUCUGACGCUGAGGCGCGAAAGCUAGGGGAGCAAACGGGAUUAGAUACCCCGGUAGUCC